AUGACACAUUGGAUCAAGUAUUUUAGUCAUGGCAAGCUGCCAUUGGCAACAGCUCGCAUGACCUUUGUUUGCUCGUAUAUAAAAAUUAAAAAGCAUGAUUUUCGUCCAUGGAUCUCUAUUACAUUGCUGCAAACUUUCUCAGGUCCUGUCAAGGCCCACAACAGGGUACAGAAGAAGAAAACGACGAAACCGAAGCCAUCAUUGUUGCCAUUUGGGCCUUGUUUCCUGAAGGGUCUUGAUGCAUGCAGGACGGGACAGAUCAGGCGUGUCAAAACCCACAAGCCCAAGAUUUUGAAUAAUUUGUGUGCGUGUGCGCGUGCGCGCGUGUGUGGUUGUCCUCUUAAAGCUAUUAUUAUUGUACUCUCCAUCUUGCUGGAUUAA
rnacentral:rRNA from 1 species